UGCUAUUCAGAGAAGAGCCAGAGUCCUUCAUCUCUUUGCCACUGUGUGUGUUGAGGAAGAAAUAAGUAGUGACUAGAUGCCCGACACCCCAGAUUGCAUCCUGGCUCAGUUUUCCUCUUCUUGAAACAGGAGAUCACUUCUUAGACAAGUAGAAUUCUCUUUAUCCUGUCCCUUCUGCCCCAAAGCCAUGAUUGAGUGUGUUUGAUUGACACUGUUGGUGCGAUGCAACCCUGUCGUCUGCUACACCAACACUAUGGGCUCAUCAUUCAGAAACCCAAUCUCCAGCAGCUCACGAAGUGACUUCCUGAAAAUUCCUUUCUCACGCAGAGCUCACCCUGUGACAUCAGCCUCAGUCCUUAAGGAUGCCUACACAAAUCACUGAACACAUGGAUGAGAGCAAAGCCAUUGGUAGACAUCAUGUAUUUAUCCACCAGUCACAUUUAUUGUGUACCUAUGAUGUGCAACUACUGAUUUAGAUGAAUGAGGCAAAGAACGAAACCGAUCCGUGUCCUGAGGCUCCUCCUUUGUCAGGUAAAUUCAGCUUUUUGGUAUCAUAACCAAUGUCAUACAUGAGUACAA
rnacentral:lncRNA from 1 species